rnacentral:rRNA from 1 species
GACGAACGCUGGCGGCGUGCUUAACACAUGCAAGUCGAACGAUGAAGCCGGAGCUUGCUCUGGUGAAUUAGUGGCGAACGGGUGAGUAACACGUGAGUAACCUGCCCUUGACUCUGGGAUAACUGCGGGAAACUGUAGCUAAUACUGGAUACGACCCUCGGAGGCAUCUCCUGGGGGUGGAAAGAAUUUCGGUCAAGGAUGGACUCGCGGCCUAUCAGCUAGUUGGUGAGGUAAAGGUUCACCAAGGCGCCGACGGGUAGCCGGCCUGAGAGGCUGACCGGCCACACUGGGACUGAGACACGGCCCAGACUCCUACGGGAGGCAGCACUGGGGAAUGUUGCACAAUGGGCGCAAGCAUGAUGCAGUAACGCGGCGUGCGGGACGACGGCCUUCGGGUUGUAAACCUCUUUUAGUAGGGAAGAAGCGAAAGCAACGGUACCUGCAGCAAAAGCACCGGCUAACUACGUGCCAGCCGCCGCCGUAA